rnacentral:rRNA from 1 species
CACGUAGGGGGCAAGCGUUGUCCGGAUUUAUUGGGCGUAAAGAGCUCGUAGGCUGUUCGAUAAGUCGGGUGUGAAACCUCCAGGCUCAACCUGGAGACGCCACCCGAUACUGUCAUGACUAGAGUCCGGUAGGGGAGCGUGGAAUUCCUGGUGUAGCGGUGAAAUGCGCAGAUAUCAGGAGGAACACCGGUGGCGAAGGCGGGUCUCUGGGCAGUAACUGACGCUGAGGAGCGAAAGCGUGGGGAGCGAACAGG